ACUUAGAACAGUAAAAAGUGAACAUCUUAGAGAAAAUAAAGGAAAAAGCUUGUAUAUGGGAGAGCGUAUAAUACAAGAGUACAAUACAAAAUUACUUUUUGAUUUCCUUUCUUUCUGUUCACCCUUUUUCUUUUGAUUACUUUUUGUUCUCUUUUCUUUAUGUUCACCAUUUUUCUCUUGUACUUACCAUUUUCACAUGAGAAGGGAGCCCAAUUAAUCUCCGAGAUUAACAUUCCAAGUUAAUCUCCUCUCACGAUUUUAUGCAUUUGUUUUCGUGCCACUUUACUAUUUCACUUUUAUUAUUUUAAAAAUAAAAGUAAAACAAUAUAUUGUGAGAGGAGAUUAACUUUUCACGUCAAUGUCAGAGAUUAACUUGAAUUCUCUCUUUUCACAGGGAAAUCAAAAAUUCAUGUGAGUUGAGGCACACAAGCUCAAGAAUUAAUGUUUGAAAAUGGCGAGGAAGAUGUUGGUGAUGGAGGACUCGAUUUUAACAAAUAGUUUCUCAAAUUUUUGUGAUGAAGUCGGUGAAAGCGAUUCCGGUGGUACUGGCGUUGUAUUGGAUGGCGACAAGACCGCCGCCAUUGAAGACCCAGUGCCCGAAACAAGGGAAGCAACAAGAUGAUGAAGAGCAUUGUGCUUUAGCACUAGAAGCUUUGUUGAACGAGGUAACAAUGGUCCAAAAUGGUUGUGGAACUGUGCUUGACAUGUCCAAUUCUUAAUGAGAUGUCUUUCUUAUAUGAAGACAUUUGGAUUAUCCACUGUGUUUAUCAAGUCUACAUUGACGGAGAAUGGAGGGGUUCUGGAUUCUACUAACUUGCCAACAUUGAUAAAGAAUCUGCACCUGUAAACUUGUCUGAUAGACUGCAUGGCUGCUGACCUGCAGUGGUGGUGAAAUUUGAGAGUAUCUAGUUGUUGAACUGCUGCUCCCUCAUUUAUACUCUUUGUAUAGUUAAUAUUUAAUAAUCUAUAUUAUUUACAGAAAUUACAAAGAGUAUUAGUACUUUUAUGUAUAUAUGUCAGUUUUUGUA